AGUGGGAUAGCUGGGUCAAAGGGUAGUUCCAAUUCCAAGUAUUUUGAGUAAUCUCCAUACUGCUUUCCAUAGUGGUUGUACUAAUUUGCAGUCCCACCAGCAAU
rnacentral:pre_miRNA from 1 species